GGGCUUGUAGCUUAGUGGAUUAGAGCGUGUGGCUACGGACCACAAGGUCGGGAGUUCGAGUCUCUCCAAGCCCGUCA
rnacentral:tRNA from 2 species